GGUUACUGCUAUCGGUGUUCGCCUAAACCAUGCGAGUCAUAUGUUCUUCGGAACAUGGCGUACUGCUCAGUAACACGUGGAUAACCUGCCCUUGGGUCCGGCAUAACCCCGGGAAACUGGGGAUAAUUCCGGAUAACGCACAUAUGCUGGAAUGCUUUAUGCGUCAAAUGGAUUCGUCCGCCCAAGGAUGGGUCUGCGGCCUAUCAGGUAGUAGUGGGUGUAAUGUACCUACUAGCCUACGACGGGUACGGGUUGUGAGAGCAAGAGCCCGGAGAUGGAUUCUGAGACAUGAAUCCAGGCCCUACGGGGCGCAGCAGGCGCGAAAACUUUACAAUGCGGGAAACCGUGAUAAGGGGACACCGAGUGCCAGCAUCAUAUGCUGGCUGUCCGGGUGUGUAAAAUACACCUGUUAGCAAGGGCCGGGCAAGACCGGUGCCAGCCGCCGCGGUAACACCGGCGGCCCGAGUGGUGAUCGUGAUUAUUGGGUCUAAAGGGUCCGUAGCCGGUUUGGUCAGUCCUCCGGGAAAUCUGACGGCUUAACCGUUAGGCUUCCGGGGGAUACUGCCAGACUUGGAACCGGGAGAGGUAAGAGGUACUACAGGGGUAGGAGUGAAAUCUUGUAAUCCCUGUGGGACCACCUGUGGCGAAGGCGUCUUACCAGAACGGGUUCGACGGUGAGGGACGAAAGCUGGGGGCACGAACCGGAUUAGAUACCCGGGUAGUCCCAGCCGUAAACGAUGCUCGCUAGGUGUCAGGCAUGGCGCGACCGUGUCUGGUGCCGCAGGGAAGCCGUGAAGCGAGCCACCUGGGAAGUACGGCCGCAAGGCUGAAACUUAA
rnacentral:rRNA from 1 species